GCCGACGCCGCGCCGCCCGCCCGACACGCCCACCUCCGAGCUGCUGAGCAAGAUCGACACCGGCGAGUCGGUGGCCAAACAGCUGGCGGCACUCCACUGCCAGUACGUGGAGACGGUCCAGGAGCUGGAGAAGACACGCACCCUGCUGGACGUGCAGAAACAGGUCAACACCGCCCAGCAGCAGGAGGUGUCUCUGCUGUCGCGCCGGCUGACCGAGCUGGGCCGGGCGCGCGAC